rnacentral:rRNA from 1 species
GUUAUGCAAGUUGGUAGGGGAGCAUUCUAUUAUAGGGAGAAGCAUGACCGGAAGGACAUGUGGACGAGAUAGAAGAGAGAAUGCCGGAAUGAGUAGCGAGAAUUAUGUGAGAAUCAUAAUGGUCGAAAACCUAAGGUUUCUUGAGGAAGGUUCGUCCGCUCAAGGUAAGCCGGGAGCUAAGGCGAGGCCGAAAGGCGUAGUCGAUGCACAUACGGUAGAAAUUCCGUAGCCACCGAAAUUGUUAAGCACAGGGACGCAGGAACAUAAUCCAACCGCACCGAUGGUCGAGUGCGGCGAAAGGGAGCGAAAAUUAAGUAGCGAAGUGGAUGAUUGUACACUGACGAGAAAAGCUGUGUGGAUUGAUGAGGUGCCCGUACCGUAAACCGACACAGGUGGGUGAGGAGAGAAUCCUAAGACCAGCGGGAGAAGUGUUGUUAAGGAACACGGCAAAUUGACCCCGUAACUUCGGGAAAAGGGGUGCCUGCUAGCGCAGGCCGCAGAGAAUAGGCCCAAGCGACUGUUUAGCAAAAACACAGGUCUCUGCUAAAUCGAAAGAUGAAGUAUAGGGGCUGACGCCUGCCCGGUGCCGGAAGGUUAAGAGGAGGACUUAGCGCAAGCGAAGGUCUGAAUUGAAGCCCCGGUAAACGGCGGCCGUAACAAUAACGGUCCUAAGGUAGCGAAAUUCCUUGUCAGGUAAGUUCUGACCCGCACGAAUGGCGUAACGAUUUGGGCACUGUCUCAACAACACACCCGGUGAAAUUGUAGUACCGGUGAAGAUGCCGGUUACCCCGACUAGACGGAAGGACCCCAUGGAGCUUUACUGUAACUUGAUAUUGGAUUUUGGUAUUGCAUGUACAGGAUAGGUGGGAGACUGAGAAGCACAGACGCCAGUUUGUGUGGAGUCAAUGUUGGGAUACCACUCUUGUGAUACUGGAAUUCUAACCUGCGGCCGUGAAACCGGUCGGGGGACAAUGUCUGGUGGACAGUUUGACUGGGGCGGUCGCCUCCUAAAGAGUAACGGAGGCGUUCAAAGGUUAGCUCAGUACGGUCAGAAAUCGUACGAAGAGUGCAAACGCAAAAGCAAGCCUAACUGCGAGACGAACAGGUCGAGAAGUAACGAAAGUUGGAGUUAGUGAUCCGGCGGUAAGAGAGUGGAAUUGCCGUCGCUCAACGGAUAAAAGCUACCCUGGGGAUAACAGGCUGAUCUCCCCCAAGAGUCCAUAUCGACGGGGAGGUUUGGCACCUCGAUGUCGGCUCAUCGCAUCCUGGAGCUGGAGUCGGUUCCAAGGGUUGGGCUGUUCGCCCAUUAAAGCGGUACGCGAGCUGGGUUCAGAACGUCGCGAGACAGUUCGGUCCCUAUCUGUCGCGGGCGCAGGAAAUUUGAAGGGAGCUGUCCUUAGUACGAGAGGACCGGGAUGGACGUACCACUGGUGUACCAGUUGUCUUGCAAAGGCACGGCUGGGUAGCUAAGUACGGAAGGAAUAAACGCUGAAGGCAUCUAAGCGUGAAGUCCCCCCUAAGAUAAGAUUUCCCAUUCUUUAAAAGAAGUAAGACCCCACGUAGACUAUGUGGUUGAUAGGUCGGAGGUGUAAGUGUGGUAACACAUUAAGCUGACCGAUACUAAUAGGUCGAGGGCUUGACCU